UCGUAACAACGGGGGUGCGAGGGCUGUCGCUGACCUUUCAAAAGGUCGUGCACGCCCGAGCGCUCUCACACAUCCAUCUCACCCCUUGUGCAUCACCGCGUGGGUCCCCUUUUCAGGGAGGCUCACGUUUUCACACAAAACUAGAUACAGUGUAGAAUGUUAUCUUUUGCGGUCACACGCAAUCAAUA
rnacentral:misc_RNA from 1 species